AUGGGGAGCGACGACAGCGGCCGUGGCAGCAUCGCCUUCUUCGGGACCUACCGCCCGCCGGUGCCACUGGACAUCUACUCCUGCCCGGCCGACCCGCCGCCCUCCUCGCGGAAGGACGAGCUGCACCUCACCGACGGCGUCUCCUACAACCAGAACGGCCGGGCCAUCCCGGCGCCGGCGCUCAAGGAGCUGCUCACGUUCCUGGGCAAGAAAAACCCCGCGCUCGCCGCCGAGUGCGGCGCCACGCCGGACGACGCCGAGAAGGGCCGCGUCGCCGGCCUCGUCUUCGUCUCCGAGAGGGACAAGGGGCUCGAGACGCUGCACGUGGCCCUUGUGCGUCCCAAAGGCGAAGGUGGUGCGGUAAAGGUGCUGAGCCUGGGCGACGUCUACGGCGCCGACACCUUCGGCGGCUCGCGGAUGGAGGACAGCGGCUGCAUCGCCGGCGGCUUCAAGGUGGGCGCUCGCACCGUCGGCCACUCGCUCGUGUACGUCUCCACCAAGGAGCCGGUGACGAGGCGCCGCACGCCGUGGACCGUGGUGUACCGGACCAACCUCGCCGACGGCAAGACGGAGCGCCUCACCCCGCCAGGCCAGUACGACGUGAGCCCCGCCGUGUCGCCGUCGGGCAAGAUGGUGGCGGUGGCCAACUUCCGCGGAAACAAGUGGACCGGCGAGAUCGAGCGCCUCAACACCGACAUCGCCGUCAUGAACGUGGACAAGACGGCGCAGGGCGGCCUGCGCCGCAGGAUCCUCAUCCGGGACGGCGGCUGGCCGACGUGGGGCAGCGACAACGUCAUCUUCUUCCACCGCGGGACUGGGGAGUCCCCGACGAACUGGGCCGUGUUCCGCUACGACAUCGCCACCAAGGAGACCGUGCGGGUGACGCCCGAGGCCAUCGACGCCAUGACUCCCGCGGCCAUCAGCGAGACCAGGGUGGCCGUGGCCGCCAUCCGCCAGAAGUCUAGGCAGGCCGCCAUGACCACGCCGCGAGAGGAGGCGCAGUACCGCCACAUCGAGAUCUUCGACGUCGCGUCGCCGGACCGGCCGGCCGUGCAGAUCAGCCAGAAAAUCAGGCCCAAGGGCGACCACUACAACCCUUUCGUGGCCGACGGCGGCAGCCGCAUCGGCUACCAUCGGGUCAGAACCGACGAUCUCGUCAUUGGGAAUAAUCUUUCUGCGCCUACCAAGAGCUUCGACAAGAUACACUCCCCUCACACAGAUGUGGGGCUGUUCAGGGUGUCGGGUGUGUUCCCAACCAUUUCCAAGGAUGGCGCCAAGCUCGCCUUCGUCGACAACGAGUUCAAGGCCGUGUGGCUCGCCGACACCCAAGGCCUGCGUGUUGUCUACGAGAAGCGGGGCUCCAACGCCGUCUUCUCCACGGCGUGGAACCAGAACCCGGACAAGGACACAUUGUACGUCUGCGUGGGGCCGUCCUUCUCUGCCGCCAAGCCACUGGAGAUCUACGCCAUCUCCAACGUGUCCGGGCCGUCCGCCGGCCGGAAGGUGCAGCGCCUCACCGCCGGGAACUUCAACAACGCCUUCCCGUCGAGCAACGCGCAGGGGGACAAGUUCGUGUUCCGGUCCACGAGGGACGGCGGCAAGGAGAAGUUCCACAAGAACCUCUACAUCAUGGAGGAUGCGGAGGAGGGGGAGUUCGGCCAGGGCACAGUGACGCGGCUCACCAACGGGCCGUGGACCGACACCCACUGCAGCUGGUCGCCCAAGGGGGACUGGGUCGUCUUCUCCUCUACCCGCGAGAUGCCAGCCAGCGCGCCGGAGAUGGCCUUCCUUGACGCGGGCUACUUUGCCGUGUACCUGGUGAAGGUCAGCAACCCCACGGUGGUGGUGCGCGUGGUGCAAAGCUCGGCUACCCUCGCAGGACACGUGAACCACCCCAUUUUCAGCCCCGACAUGAGGAGCAUUGUCUUCGCCUCCGACCUCGCCGCCGUCUCCAACGAGCCCAUCUCGAUGCCCGUCUUCCUGCACUCCGUUAGGCCCUACGGCGACAUCCUUUCAGUCGACCUCCGCGACACUGAUGACAUCACCAAGAACAAGGACAUCCAGGAGUUCCACCGCAUCACGCACAGCCGCUACGAGUACUCCACUCCGACAUGGACCAAGUUCGCCACCGACGACCCCAACGAGCAGUGGAACAUGCUCGCCGUCAAGGGCAGCACCCCAUUCAGGCCGGCGUGCCCUUACAUGUACCCUGACGGAGGAGAGGGCUGGCACAUGGCCGGCCACCUCACCAUCCCAAAGAGAUGCUGCUAG
rnacentral:rRNA from 1 species